UUGUAAGAAUGUAGUACACAGAAAAUAUACAUGAAAAGAUUACUUCUCUAUCUCUAAAUCUUUCUCUAUCUCUCUCUAUCUUCUCUCUUCUUCUCUGUAUCUUUCACAAGCAUUUGAAGUUAUUGCCCGACCGAAUACACACCCUCACUGCCCUUCGAUAUUUGGGUCUAGGCGCACUUCCAAAUGUUGAGUCAUUUGCAGAAGGGGGAUUGCCUCCCAACCUACAAGAAUUUCGAAUCGGUGAUUUUGAGAGCAGAAGGGGGUUUCACCAUUAGCUGCUGAGGAUGUGGGGAAUGAUCUCCAAUUUUUGAAGUUCUGUGAAACAUUUAGAGAGUUUUUUUAAAAUUGGAAAGUCCCAAGCUGAAUCUGUUCUUUGAGAACUCUCGUGUGGAGGAAGUGGACGGCCUGAACAGUUUUCCAUUGUUCGAUUUCAUAGCUAUAUGUUUUUCUUCAACAGGAAGCAAGCAAGCACCAACUGCUCAUGGUUCCAAGAUUUGGAGAACCUGAUCUCCGCAUCCAGGGUCUCUAAGGUCAACCCCGUUAUGAAGGAGCAGCCGCAGAGUGUUGCCCGUAGAGUGUUUUAGUGGACGCGGGGAUGGAUAUGAUGCCUUAAGCUUCUCCCAAAAGCUUAGGCUUUUGAAUUUCCUUUGUGACGAGUCUUUCGUCCAGACGCUGAUGGUUUAAGGAGCAAAAUAAAAGAUCUGUCCAACGUGAUAGGUUUGCUCUACCAAAGAAUAAGGAUAGAGAUCCCGAAGCUAAGAGAACCAUUGCAGAUAGUGGGAAUGCUGUCCCGAUUUCAGAGUUGGACUUCAUUGUUUCAGUACACAUAAGUGAGGCUGCUGACACUCCCACGGAGGUGGUCGAUGCUAUGCCCAUGAUACCUGAAGGGUAUCUUCCUGAGACGAGGUAUGAAAAAGGAAUGCGCUCGAGUUGACAUUUGCAUUCAAUAUCGAUGAGAAUAAACAAGCAUUUUUUCAAUUUGAUGAUGGAAGGAAGCAAGCGAAACCACGUGAAGGGCAAAAUUAUGUCACUACUGUGUUUCUCGGCUUUGCUGAUACGGACAGAAACUGUGGAACUGUUGUAAAUAUUGGAUUAUCUAAGGCCAACAAUUUUAGCGUCCAUCAAUUAGUUAUACAUGAAUGGUUUUCCUAAAGUCUGGCAUGAAUAUGAUUCUCCUCCAAUUGGAUAGGUAACCCCUGGAAUGAUGUUUUACUCUUAUACUGCUUUAUUUUCAAUACAAGCAACAUGCGUUUUCAUCUUCACUUCAUGUCGCUGCCAUCUUCGAGUGGGUGCAGACAUGUUCUUUUUGUACAUAUACAGCUGUUGAAGUGAGAACGGGUGACGAUGACCACAAAAAAAAAAAAAAAAAAAAAAAAAAAAAUGAGAGACGGGUUUCUUUGUAGCACUGCCCUCAUGCUUGCGCUUGUUGGAAGUCAGUACAUUAUGUUACUAGAACAGGUGUAUUAGUAUAUGUUGAGCUGGGGUAUGAAAAAGGAAAGCACUUGUGUUGGCAUCUUCUCGAAACGGAGAGAAGAAACAAGAUCUUCACAAUUUGAUGUGGAAAUAAAGUGGGAGAACGUAUCGAUCUGAAGCCUAUGAGCAUCUUAUUCUCUGGAAGUGAUCCAAAGGAACUGAGAGAUUGCAGCGUUAUGCUCUACCAUUGGGGAUGUUAUGAGCGGAAGAAACAAAGGGGAGAUGGAUGUCGAAAGCAAGGAUACGGUUCACUGGAAAAAUGUAUGGCUUCAAACAAGGUUUUAGUGAUGUUUAAGCGGGUUUAUGCCCUCGGGUUUUGUUAGGAAACUGGUGUUGGUUCACCAAGCAAACGAGGGAAGGAGAUGUCUCUUGGUGGAAGCAAAGAUAUGAACUUGGAUGCGUCUCUGAAAUCUGAUGACAUUGUUGUAUUGUUCAAAGCUUCUUCCCCACUACUGCUACUUGCAUAUCUGCUUGGUGGAUCAUUACGCUUGCACUGGUGCCACUUUCCCAUCAAACACAAACUCUCAGGAAGCAUUUGUUACAUAAAUGUGUGGAAAAUUCCUGUGAUAUCUGUUAUAGACGGUCCAUUUCAUGGUCCGAAAACGAAAGCAUUUGUUCUUCUCAAGAACACAACAGUUGACAAUUGUAAUGUGGUAUUGCAGAUGAACUGUUAUUAACA